rnacentral:rRNA from 1 species
CACGUAGGGGGCAAGCGUUGUCCGGAAUCAUUGGGCGUAAAGAGCUCGUAGGCGGCUCAGUAAGUCGGGUGUGAAACCUCCAGGCUCAACCCUGGAGACGCCACCCGAUACUGCUGUGGCUAGAGUCCAGUGAGGGGAGUGUGGAAUUCCCGGUGUAGCGGUGAAAUGCGCAGAUAUACGGGUGAGGAACACCAGCGGCGAAGGCGG